UCCUCGAUAGUCUAGUGGUGAGGAUAUCUGCUUGUCACUCAACGAUUCGCAGGGGACCGGGGUUCAAUUCCCCGUCGAGGAG
rnacentral:tRNA from 2 species